rnacentral:lncRNA from 1 species
GUUUCACUUUGGUACUUGCUGUACAGACUGCUGCCACACUGGCUGGCUAGGUCGCUCUAGCACGCAAGUCUUGAAAUUGUUCAUUGUUCCUCUCACUGCCAGAAGCAGGAGGGUUGUUCUCUUGUCUUCACUGUGAGGGACCUACUAGAGGUCAGGAAGCAAAUGCACAGAAACUCCUUGGUUCUCCUUAGAAUUAGGUCUCCGGGAGCACUCUCAAGCUGGUGCAGGGCAGUGCAGCAUCGCCUGCUGUGACACUGGCUUUCAGGAAGAUGUCCACACUGGAAGGCAAGAUGGCAGGAGGCCCCUUGGUGAUGGGAACAUGUGGCUGGGACUCUUCACCUCUAAACAUUAUAGUGAAACAGAAAGAAGAGAAAGGGCUCAUACUUCUCGAUUAAGACUACCACCGGCUGGCUGGUUCGCUCUAAGCGGGAUAUUGGAAACCCACACCCCAUUUGGGACAGGCUGUGGGUUCCAUCGGGCCCGCCGCCUAGGCCCGGAAAGCACCCACUCUCCACAGGCGUUGCCGGCUAGCAGCUGACCCACGGCAGCUGUGCUGCUCAGUCAUCCACCCAGUUUCUAGCUGCCUAGAGAUAAGCGCAGCCGCUUUUGUGACCUCUCUCCACUGCUGACCGACUGCUGCCAAACGCCUCGGAAUAACUGAAGGCCUGUGCUACCUGCUGGUCAAAUAUAUUUACUGCAUCUGGAGUAGAAAUCAGAGAAUACCCUUCUGGAAUUCUGAUGCAGAGGGAAGACACUAU